AGAGACAGCAGUAGCCGCGGGAAUACGGAGGGUGCAAGCGUUAAUCGGAAUUACUGGGCGUAAAGCGCACGCAGGCGGGUCAUUAAGUCAGUGGUGAAAUCUGUGGGCUCAACCCACAAACUGCCUUUGAUACUAUUGACCUUGAAUGUCGCUGAGGACAGCGGAAUGGGGCAUGUAGCGGUGAAAUGCAUAGAUAUGCCCCGGAACACCGAUUGCGAAGGCAGCUGUCUAAAGGACGAUUGACGCUGAGGCACGAAAGCGUGGGUAGCGAACAGGAUUAGAUACCCCGGUAGUCCCUGUCUCUUAUAC
rnacentral:rRNA from 1 species